rnacentral:rRNA from 1 species
CUUACGGCCAUACCAGCCUGAA